rnacentral:rRNA from 1 species
CCUACGGGUGGCUGCAGUGAGGAAUAUUGGUCAAUGGGCGCGAGCCUGAACCAGCCAAGUAGCGUGAAGGAUGACUGCCCUACGGGUUGUCAACUUCUUUUUUCAAGGAAUAAAGUGAGGCACGUGUGCCCUUUUGUAUGUACUUUAUGAAUAAGAAUCGGCUAACUCCGUUCCAGCAGCCGCGGUAAUACGGAGGAUCCGCGCGUUAUCCGGAUUUAUUGGGGUUAAAGGGAGCGCAGAUGGGUUGUUAAGUCAGUUGUUAAAGUUUGCGGCUCAACCGUCAAAUUGCAAUUGAUACUGGCAGCCUUGAGUACAGUUGAGGUAGGCGGAAUUCGUGGUGUAGCGGUGAAAUGCUUAGAUAUCACGAAGAACUCCGAUUGCGAAGGCAGCUUACUAAACUGCCACUGACAUUGAUGCUCGAAAGUGUGGGUAUCAAACAGGAUUAGAUACCCUUGUAGUC